rnacentral:rRNA from 1 species
AGUGAACGCUGGCGGUAGGCCUAACACAUGCAAGUCGAACGGCAGCACAGUAAGGGCUUGCUCUUACGGGUGGCGAGUGGCGGACGGGUGAGGAAUACAUCGGAAUCUACUUUUUCGUGGGGGAUAACGUAGGGAAACUUACGCUAAUACCGCAUACGACCUACGGGUGAAAGCAGGGGAUCUUCGGACCUUGCGCGAUUGAAUGAGCCGAUGUCGGAUUAGCUAGUUGGCGGGGUAAGGGCCCACCAAGGCGACGAUCCGUAGCUGGUCUGAGAGGAUGAUCAGCCACACUGGAACUGAGACACGGUCCAGACUCCUACGGGAGGCAGCAGUGGGGAAUAUUGGACAAUGGGCGCAAGCCUGAUCCAGCCAUACCGCGUGGGUGAAGAAGGCCUUCGGGUUGUAAAGCCCUUUUGUUGGGAAAGAAAAGCAGCAGGUUAAUACCCCGCUGUUCUGACGGUACCCAAAGAAUAAGCACCGGCUAACUUCGUG